rnacentral:tRNA from 1 species
UGGCGUCCCCAAGGGGAUUCGAACCCCUGUCGCCGCCGUGAAAGGGCGGUGUCCUGGACCGGGCUAGACGAUGGGGACG